UACGAAGGGGCUGAGCGUUGUUCGGAAUUACUGGGCGUAAAGCGCGCGCAGGCGGUCUUCCAAGUCAGUGGUGAAAGCCCGGAGCUCAACUCCGGAACUGCCAUUGAAACUGUUAGACUUGAGGACGAGAGAGGUGAGUGGAAUUCCCAGUGUAGAGGUGAAAUUCGUAGAUAUUGGGAAGAACACCGGUGGCGAAGGCGGCUCACUGGCUCGUAUCUGACGCUCAGGCGCGACAGCGUGGGAUCGAAACAGG
rnacentral:rRNA from 1 species